ensembl:misc_RNA
CUGUCAGCCCUGGAGACUGGAAGUCCUCCAUUUAUCCCACAGAAGCAAGGUUCCCCGCUCACAGCCCUGGGAGGGAUCCACCUCUAAGAGUAAGGAGAGAAGCCCAGUUCUCAUGGCCAUUCACUCUUCAACCUCU